ACAACAAGAGCUCAAGCAUUCUUGGUUCUGCUCACGUCUCUGCACUUCGAGUGAUUAAUUGGAACAAAAUGAAAAUCCUCUUCUUAAUUGGAUUUCUUGCGACUGCGCUCAGCCAACAUCUGUUUGAGAUGGGCUUUAGCAACGAUGCAGAUAUGAAGAAUUUCAAAUUAUUCGAUCUGAACCUCGAUGGCACUAUCCAUCUGAGUGAACUGUUCACUGUGUUCAGGACAAUGGAUACAAACGAUGAUGGAGUGCCAGCCUUGAGGAGUUCACUGCUAUAAAUCCUGCAGAUCUUCCUCCUCUUCAAGCUCAAAUUUUAUUUAACUUUAUGGACCAAAUGGACUCCACACUCGAUGAUGUGGUCGAUUCAUCGUCCUUAUGCACAUAUUUCAGCCUCAUGAAUGUGGACAACAACAGGAAAGCAACUCUUGGAGAGUAUAAAAGCCACCAACAGAAGGUACAGACCCACUUAAAGAAAGAGCUGAAGGACAUCGCGGGAUGUUGAAUAUCUGUUGCAAUGAUGUGCAAACGAAACUCCAAAUAAAUACAGCUUUGACAAAAAUAUAACAAA